rnacentral:rRNA from 1 species
AUACGGAGGGUGCAAGCGUUAUUCGGAAUUACUGGGCGUAAAGGGUGCGUAGGCGGUUUGAUAAGUCUGAUGUGAAAUCCUAUGGCUCAACCAUAGAACUGCAUUGGAAACUGUCAGACUAGAAUACUGAAGGGGCAGAUGGAAUUAGUGGUGUAGGGGUAAAAUCCGUAGAUAUCACUAGGAAUACCGAAAGCGAAAGCGAUCUGCUGGGAAGUUAUUGACGCUGAGGCACGAAAGCGUGGGGAGCAAACGGGAUUAGAUACCCUAGUAGUCC